UAGGGAAUAUUGGUCAAUGGGCGCAAGCCUGAACCAGCCAUGCCGCGUGCAGGAUGAAGGCCCUCAGGGUUGUAAACUGCUUUUGUAUGGGAAUAAACAAGUCCUUGCGCGGACUCUUGACGGUAUCAUAAGAAUAAGCACCGGCUAGCUCCGUGCCAGCAGCCGCGGUAAUACCGAGGGUGCAAGCGUUAUCCGGAUUUACUGGGUUUAAAGGGUGCGUAGGCGGCUCUUUAAGUCAGUGGUGAAAGCCUAACACUCAAUGUUAGAAGUGCCAUUGAUACUGAAGAGCUUGAGUCGAGGAGAGGUAAGCAGAAUUUGUGGUGUAGCAGUGAAAUGCUUAGAUACCAUGAGGAAUACCGAUAGCGAAAGCAGCUUACUGGCCUUGUACUGACGCUGAGGCACGAAAGCGUGGGGAGCAAACAGGAUUAGAUACCCCUGUAGUCC
rnacentral:rRNA from 1 species